rnacentral:rRNA from 1 species
GCGGCUAAAAGUCGGAGGAAGGUGGGGAUGACGUCAAAUCAUCAUGCCCCUUAUGACCUGGGCUACACACGUGCUACAAUGGGCGGUACAAAGGGUCGCGAACCCGCAGGGGGAGCCAAUCCCAAAAAGCCGCUCUCAGUUCGGAUUGCAGGCUGCAACUCGCCUGCAUGAAGCCGGAAUCGCUAGUAAUCGCGGAUCAGCAUGCCGCGGUGAAUACGUUCCCCGGGCCUU